UGCUUUGUUUACAGUGUUGCUGGCUUCACCUUGGACAUGGUGGUGGCUAGAGGAUCGAGGAUAUCAUAGGUUGGCUCACAUAUCAUGGUCUCUUGUUGGGAGGCCAGAAUCAAGGCCACUGUGGUCAAACAAAAUGGGCCAGUACUGCUUUCUAAGCUACCUUGGCUCGUACAAUGAGCCAGUUACAGUGUCCCAAAGAGUGGUGGGAAUGAUGAGGAAGAUAGCGAGAGCAGUCGGCGUUGAAAGCCAGGAGAUCAACUGGAAAU
rnacentral:lncRNA from 1 species